rnacentral:rRNA from 1 species
UACAGAGGUCUCAAGCGUUGUUCGGAUUCAUUGGGCGUAAAGGGUGUGUAGGUGGCGCGCUAAGUCGGGUGUGAAAUUUCGGAGCUUAACUCCGAAACUGCAUUCGAUACUGGCGUGCUUGAGGACUGGAGAGGAGACUGGAAUUCAUGGUGUAGCGGUGAAAUGCGCAGAUAUCAGGAGGAACACCGGUGGCGAAGGCGGGUCUCUGGGCCUUGCCUGACGCUGAGGCGCGAAAGCUAGGGGAGCGAACAGG